AGUAAACAGUUGCAUGCGGGUGCAACUCGAGGCAGUAACUCGCAACACAAAGACCUACACGCAGGGGAAUAAAGCACAAGUGAAUAAUGCACCGUGCACUUCGUUAUUAGUAUUAGAGGGUGACGCUAUCUAACACACCACGGGGCUGCAAAAACAUUUGAGGACACGUCGAGGCAACCUGAUGUCCCAGGAGAGAGCACCCUAGGGGCCAGACGGCUGGGACGACACUGGGAAGAGGCAGGAUCUGGGGACUUUACGGGACGCGCCGCACAGAAAGCUGCAGACUUGGAAUGCAGCAGACGAGCAGGGAUCCGGGAGGCAGUAAUUGCACAUUAAAUCGUUUAGAAACAUAACAUGCUGGCACCUGUUUCCGAUUAACCACAUAACAAACCAUGUAAUAAAUGUGCAUUACAUGUUUAUAAUGCUGCAACCAUACAGCUGUCAUUUUUUUUUAUCAUACCGUAAUUUAUUGACAACGUAAGGCUACAUCCUAACAUAUUUUUAUAUUAUAUUACUCUUCACCUUUUUAUAUUAUUUUUAUUUUGUAUUCUUAUUCUUGUAUUUUUUAUAUUCUUUACUCUUGUCUUUCUUGCUAUCUGUCUGGAGCUGCGUUAACACGCAAAUUUCCCCACUGUGGGAUCAAUAAAGUCCUAUCUUAUCUUA